UGCCCCCGGCAGGAUUCGAACCUGCGACACCCGCUUUAGGAGAGCGGUGCUCUAUCCCCUGAGCUACGGAGGC
rnacentral:tRNA from 1 species